rnacentral:rRNA from 1 species
UGAAGUAAGUAAGGGCGUACGGUGAAUGCCUUGGUGCCAACAGGCGAAGAAGGACGCGGCAAGCUGCGAAAAGCCUCGGGAAGCUGCAAGCAAGCGAUGAUCCGGGGAUAUCCGAAUGGGGUAACCUGAUCGAGGCAAUACUCGAUCGUUCAUACCUGAAUACAUAGGGUAUGAAACGCGAAACCCGCUGAAGUGAAACAUCUCAGUAAGCGGAGGAAAAGAAAGAGAAAUCGAUUCCGUAAGUAGUGGCGAGCGAAAGCGGAUGGAGCCCAAACCGAAGGUAUUCCUUCGGGGUUGUAGGACCACGUCAUAUUCGACCAUACUGGAUAGUAGAACAGCCUGGAAAGGCUGGCCGGAGAAGGUGAAAGCCCUGUAGACGAAAUCCAGAGUGGGAAUUAGUGGUAUCCUGAGUAAUACAUCACACGUGGAACGAUGUAUGAACCCGCGCGGACCACCGCGCAAGGCUAAAUACUAGUUGGCGACCGAUAGUGAACAAGUACCGCGAGGGAAAGGUGAAAAGAACCGCUGUGAGCGGAGUGAAAUAGAACCUGAAACCGUAUGUCUACAAAGUGUCAGAGCAGAGCAAUCUGCGAUGGCGUGCCUUUUGUUUAAUGAGUCUGCGAGUCAGUGUUUGUGGCAAGACUAAGGGCUUCCGGCCCGGAGUCGCAGCGAAAGCAAGUCCGAACAGGGCGCAAUAAGUCGCAGGUACUGGACCCGAAGCGGAGGUGACCUACCCUUGGCCAGGUUGAAGCAUGGGUAAAACCAUGUGGAGGACCGAACAGGUGAACGUUGAAAAGUUCUCUGAUGAGCUGAGGGUAGGAGUGAAAGGCUAAUCAAACCCCGUGAUAGCUGGUUCUCUUCGAAAUGCAUUUAGGUGCAGCGUCACGUGCUGAUGCGCGGGGGUAGAGCACUGACAAGGCUAGGGGGCACACCCGCUUACCAAACCUUAUCAAACUCCGAAUACCGUGCAAUGGAACGUGGCAGUGAGACAGUGGGGGAUAAGCUUCAUUGUCGAGAGGGAAACAACCCAGACCAGCAGCUAAGGUGCCUAAAUAACGCUCAGUGGAAAGGAUGUGGGAUUACACAGACAGUGAGGAUGUUGGCUUAGAAGCAGCCACCAUUUAAAAAAUGCGUAAUAGCUUACUCAUCGAGUGAUCCUGCGCCGAAAAUGAUUGGCGAUCAAGCGUUAUACCGAAGCUCUGGACUUUGCCGCAAGGCAGAGUGGUAGAAGAGCGUUGCAUGCGCGUCGAAGGGCGAUGGCGACUGACCCUGGAGCACAUGCAAGUGAGUAUGCAGACAUGAGUAACGUUAAGCCGGGUGAAAUCCCCGGCCGCCGUAAACCCGAGGUUUCCAGGGCAACGUGUUUCGUCCCUGGGUUAGCCGGGACCUAAGCCGAGGCCGAGAGGCGUAGGCGAUGGACAUCAGGUUAAUAAUCCUGAGCUCGCAACCCUUAAACUGGGGGGACGCAUGAGAAAAGAUGACUAGGUUAUUGAAUUCCGAGUUGAGUCUACGGACUCAGCGCAUCAUUGGAUCGAGUGCCAAGAAAAGCCCCAGCGUAUGCUAAGCGACCCGUACCGCAAACCGACACAGGUGGGUGGGUAGAAUAUACCAAGGCGUAAGAGUGAAACCUGGUUAAGGAACUCGGCAAAUUAGCCCCGUAACUUCGGAAGAAGGGGUGCCUGCAGCGAUGCAGGCCGCAGAGAAAUGGCCCAACCGACUGUUUAUCAAAAACACAGCACUCUGCAAAGACGCAAGUCGAAGUAUAGGGUGUGACACGUGACCAAUGCCGAAAGAUUAAGGCAAGGGGUUAGCCGCAAGGCGAAGCUCUAAACCCAAGUCCCGGUGAAUGUCGGCCGUAACUAUAACGGUCCUAAGGUAGCGAAAUUCCUUGUCGGGUAAGUUCCGACCUGCACGAAUCGUGAAACGAGUUGGGCACUGUCUCAACCAGGCGCUCAGUGAAAUUGUAGUGGCGGUGAAGAUGCCGCCUACCCGCAGAAGGACGGAAAGACCCUAUAGACCUUAACUGUAAGCUGUCAUUGUUUCUUCGGUUUUAAUGCUCAGAGUAAGUGGGAGACGCUGAAGACGCCCUUUAGGGGGCGUCCGAGUCAUCAAUGAGACACCACCCUUUGAAACUGGAGGAUCUAACCCUGAGCCGUGAAUCCGGCCAGAGGACCGUGUCAGCCGGUCAGUUUUACUGGGGCGGUAUCCUCCCAAAGAGUAACGGAGGAGCGCGAAGGUGGGCUCAGCCCGGUUGGCAACCGGGUGUCGAGUGCAUGGGCAUAAGCCCGCCUAACUGUGAGACCAACAAGUCGAGCAGAUGCGAAAGCAGGCCCAAGUGAUCCGGCGGUAGAAAGUGGAAUUGCCGUCGCUCAACGGAUAAAAGGUACCUUAGGGAUAACAGGCUGAUCACGCCCAAGAGUUCAUAUCGACGGCGUGGUUUGGCACCUCGAUGUCGGCUCGUCGCAUCCUGGGGCUGGAGAAGGUCCCAAGGGUUGGGCUGUUCGCCCAUUAAAGUGGC